rnacentral:rRNA from 1 species
AACGAACGCUGGCGGCAUGCCUAACACAUGCAAGUCGAACGAGACCUUCGGGUCUAGUGGCGCACGGGUGCGUAACGCGUGGGAACCUGCCCUUAGGUUCGGAAUAACUCCCCGAAAGGGGUGCUAAUACCGGAUAAUGUCUUCGGACCAAAGAUUUAUCGCCUUUGGAUGGGCCCGCGUUGGAUUAGCUAGUUGGUAGGGUAAAAGCCUACCAAGGCGACGAUCCAUAGCUGGUCUGAGAGGAUGAUCAGCCACACUGGGACUGAGACACGGCCCAGACUCCUACGCGAGGCAGCAGUGGGGAAUAUUGGACAAUGGGCGAAGGCCUGAUCCAGCAAUGCCGCGUGAGUGAUGAAGGCCUUAGGGUUGUAAAGCUCUUUUACCCGGGAUGAUAAUGACAGUACCGGGAGAAUAAGCUCCGGCUAACUCCGUG